ACGAACGCUGGCGGCGUGCUUAACACAUGCAAGUCGAACGGGGGUAGCAAUACCCUAGUGGCGGACGGGUGAGUAACGCGUAGGUAAUCUGCCCCUCGGUGGGGGACACCCGGCCGAAAGGCCGGCUAAUACCGCAUACGCUGUACGGUUGCAAUACUGUGCAGGAAAGGUUUACUGCCGAGGGAUGAGCCUGCGUCCGAUUAGCUAGUUGGUGGAGUAAUAGCCCACCAAGGCGACGAUCGGUAGCUGGUCUGAGAGGACGAUCAGCCACACUGGAACUGAGACACGGUCCAGACUCCUACGGGAGGCAGCAGUGGGGAAUUUUCCGCAAUGGGCGAAAGCCUGACGGAGCAACGCCGCGUGGGUGAUGAAGGUUUUCGGAUCGUAAAGCCCUUUCAGUUGGGAAGAAACAAAUGACGGUACCAACAGAAGAAGCACCGGCUAACUACGU
rnacentral:rRNA from 1 species